UAGAUAUAAAGGAACCGUACUGUAAACCGACACAGGUGAUCAGGUAGAGAAUACCAAGGCGCUUGAGAGAACUCGGGUGAAGGAACUAGGCAAAAUGGUACCGUAACUUCGGGAGAAGGUACGCCGGUUUGGGUGAUGGGACUUGCUCCUUGAGCCUGGGCUGGCCGAAGUGACCAGGUGGCGGCGACUGUUUAUUAAAAACAUAGCACUGUGCAAACACGUAAGUGGACGUAUACGGUGUGACGCCUGCCCGGUGCCGGAAGGUUAAUUGAUGGGGUUAUCUUCGGAGAAGCUCUUGAUCGAAGCCCCGGUAAACGGCGGCCGUAACAAUAACGGUCCUAAGGUAGCGAAAUUCCUUGUCGGGUAAGUUCCGACCUGCACGAAUGGCGUAACGAUGGCCACACUGUCUCCACCCGAGACUCAGUGAAAUUGAAAUCGCUGUUAAGAUGCAGUGUACCCGCGGCUAGACGGAAAGACCCCGUGAACCUUUACUAUAGCUUCACACUGGACUCUGACCUUACUUGUGUAGGAUAGCUGGGAGGCUUUGAAGCGGUGGCGCCAGCCAUCGUGGAGCCAACCUUGAAAUACCACCCUGGUAAUGUUGGGGUUCUAACUCAGGUCCGUAAUCCGGAUCGAGGACAGUGUGUGGUGGGUAGUUUGACUGGGGCGGUCUCCUCCCAAAGAGUAACGGAGGAGCACGAAGGUGCGCUAAUCACGGUCGGAAAUCGUGAGGUUAGUGUAAAGGCACAAGCGCGCUUGACUGCGAGUCUGACAAGACGAGCAGGUACGAAAGUAGGUCUUAGUGAUCCGGUGGUUCUGUAUGGAAGGGCCAUCGCUCAACGGAUAAAAGGUACUCCGGGGAUAACAGGCUGAUACCGCCCAAGAGUUCACAUCGACGGCGGUGUUUGGCACCUCGAUGUCGGCUCAUCACAUCCUGGGGCUGAAGCCGGUCCCAAGGGUAUGGCUGUUCGCCAUUUAAAGUGGUACGCGAGCUGGGUUUAGAACGUCGUGAGACAGUUCGGUCCCUAUCUGCCGUGGGCGUUGGAGAAUUGAGGGAAGCUGCUCCUAGUACGAGAGGACCGGAGUGGACGAACCGCUGGUGUUCGGGUUGUGUCGCCAGACGCAUUGCCCGGUAGCUACGUUCGGACAGGAUAAGCGCUGAAAGCAUCUAAGCGCGAAGCCCCUCCCAAGAUAAGUUCUCCCUGACCCCUUGAGGGUCCUGAAGGGCCGUCGAAGACUACGACGU
rnacentral:rRNA from 1 species